rnacentral:rRNA from 1 species
GACGAACGCUGGCGGCGUGCUUAACACAUGCAAGUCGAACGGAAAGGCCCUGCUUUUGUGGGGUGCUCGAGUGGCGAACGGGUGAGUAACACGUGAGUAACCUGCCCUUGACUUUGGGAUAACUUCAGGAAACUGGGGCUAAUACCGGAUAGGAGCUCCUGCUGCAUGCUGGGGGUUGGAAAGUUUCGGCGGUUGGGGAUGGACUCGCGGCUUAUCAGCUUGUUGGUGGGGUAGUGGCUUACCAAGGCUUUGACGGGUAGCCGGCCUGAGAGGGUGACCGGCCACAUUGGGACUGAGAUACGGCCCAGACUCCUACGGGAGGCAGCAGUGGGGAAUAGUGCACAAUGGGCGGAAGCCUGAUGCAGCAACGCCGCGUGCGGGAUGACGGCCUUCGGGUUGUAAACCGCUUUCGCCUGUGACGAAGCGUGAGUGACGGUAAUGGGUAAAGAAGCACCGGCUAACUACGUG